rnacentral:rRNA from 1 species
GCCGCGGUAACACGUAGGGAGCGAGCGUUGUCCGGAUUUAUUGGGCGUAAAGAGCUCGUAGGCGGUUCGGUAAGUCAGGUGUGAAAGCUCGAGGCUCAACCUCGAGAAGCCAUCUGAUACUGCUGUGACUUGAGUCCGGUAGGGGAGUGUGGAAUUCCUGGUGUAGCGGUGAAAUGCGCAGAUAUCAGGAGGAACACCUACAGCGAAGGCAGCACUCUGGGCCGGUACUGACGCUGAGGAGCGAAAGCGUGGGGAGCGAACAGGAUUAGAUACCCUGGUAGUCCACGCCGUAAACGUUGGGCACUAGGUGUGGGGUCGAACUAACCGAUUCCGUGCCGUAGCUAACGCAUUAAGUGCCCCGCCUGGGGAGUACGGCCGCAAGGCUAAAACUCAAAGGAAUUGGCGGGGGAGCACGGUCAUACUUGUUUUCCUG